GCGCCAUUUUGUCCCGGCAGCAGCGACCGCAGCUCUAUCCCAUUUUCUGUGUCUGGAGGCGAGGAAGCGGACUCUGUCCGAGUUAUGCUGAAGACAACAGACACCUCCCCGAAAACCCAGAGUACCACAGAAUGACCCUGACUUUUGUGGGGAAAACCCAGGUGCUUCGGCUCUAGAAGACCUAGGAUUUGUUACUUGUGCUGAAAAGUUCUGGUUCUGGUUUGUAAUUUUACUUCAUCUUUAAGUGAAUGAGGUUGGCCAUGUUAUAUGUGUAUGCGUGUGUGUACUUGUGUAACUUUUUAGAAGACAGUUAUUUGUAUAUGUUGAGAAGUAGAUUUGAUUCAACUGGGUUGAAUAUAGCUGCUUCCCAAAAGAUUGAGUUUUGGAGGGGAUUACAUAAUUUUAAUCAGACUUUUAUUUUGGGCACCAGGAAUGUCAGUAUUAAUUGUAAGAAUGCUUUACAUACACAAGGCUCUAGGCUGAAAAGCCAGAACAGGUGCUAUUGUUGGUAAUUUUAAAGCAUUCUUUCUAGAAUCUACAUGGAUGAUCUUUUGCCCUGUUGGACUUUGCUGUUGGUUUUAUGACCACAUGAAUGAGAGUUUUCAUUCACAAGCAGUUCAAACUAGAAUGACAGCAUAUUGCAGGGUAGGGAUUAAAGCAGAUCUGGGUUACUUAAUGACAUUUCUCCAAAGAGCUAUCCCUAGGAAGCUUAGUGUAAAUAAAAUAAAUAACAUAAUUAAACAUGAAGAGGUAAUCUGAAUACUUCAAAAGAUUUAAACAAUUAGAGUUUUUUCUUUUUUUGUUUUUCGAGACAUUAUUUGUCUGUAACCCUGGAUGUCCUGGAACUGCCGCAGCCUUCUGAGUGCUGAGAUGAAAGGUGUGCACCAUCAUGCCCAGCUGGUUAUUGUUAAAGAUUUAAAUAAUGGCUCCUGGUGAAAGAAAGAUCAGUGGAGGUUCAGUAUACAGUAUACAGUCAGCUCCAGAGACAUUGAAGAAACAUUCCUUUAAGCAAGCAGGAUCUGGGGCUAGUUAAGUGGGAGAUUGUGAGCAAGAGUGAUUGAGAAAAGCUGUUUCAGAUGGUAGACCAGUUGGGAAAGGAUGCCUGGCAAAAGACAAGGUCGGGAAAGUGAGGAGGCCUGUGAUGUCAGAGUUAUAAGACUCAGCUGCACAGGAGAAUCCUAUGGAGCAUUUGCCCUCUGCGGUCAAGGGUUUUUCCUCUCCCAUUCAGUAAGUUUCCUUGGCUUUGCUGACAAGUAUAUGGGCACCCUACCAGUGACUGUACACUCCUGAAGAAAAUGUUUCUCCCUCUAUGAGGUGUUAACUCUAUAAAUACUCAGGGAGGAACUAGACCCCACGAGACCCUCUCUCCCUUAACAGGAUGUUGACAGACCCAAUCCUGUUCAGAUAUUGAGUACAGAUAAUCUUAGCUAUCAUGAGUUCAAGGGUACAACAGCCAGGUCAGUGUUCCAUUAUCUCUUGGCUUCCUCUGGCGCUUACAUUCCUUCUGCCUCUUCUGUGAAUGUGCUGUCAGAGCUGAGCACUCUACAGUCACUUAUUCUUAGCACUUGCUAGCUAGCCUUCCCGUAGAGCUUGGAGGAAGCACAAGGAGACCACCCUGUGGUCUCUGCCAAAAUACCUGUGUGUGACUUGUACGUUAGCCCUUGCUUCCUCUACAGUCUAACUCUUUCAGAGUCUCCUAUGGUUUUAAAAUAGCCAAUGAAAUUAUAUGUUGCCACAUAUGGGAGGCAAAGAAACAAA